ACAAUCCAAUCGACGAAAAAAACAUCGACCUAACAACGACCGUAGCGCUGUUACCUAUUCACGAUGACGACGAUUAGGUAUCGACAUCUGGAUACGGCAUUAGUUUGUAUGAGGCAAACUAUUCUCUAUCAUAUUAGUCGGCCCGAAUCAGUUUAUAAUUGCUAAAAUUUGUAUGAAAUUUUUUUCUUGGCAUAAUUUUUCUUACUUAAAGUACGUUGUCAUGACCCUAAUUUGAAUUAUUUUCUAUAGACGUUCAGAUAUUCUCAAAAAAACUUGUCAUUAUAAUAUAAAAUUAUCUCAAAACAUAUUUUUUUAUGACGUUUUUUCACCACUUGUAGGCAAUGGUGAUUUUCACUUACAUAGAGUACUAAUUUGAUUAAGGAAAAAUCAUGUUCAUUCAUAAUUUUCAUUUUAAAAGUGUAUUCAUUCCUUCUGCAAAUCCAUACUGUCAUGCCUCUUCCCCAAUAUCGUCAACGCGAAUAGUUCGUUAGUCGAAAAUACUGAAUAAUUAAACAAACUAAAUGGCGUCACUGGUGGUUCUUUUUUCCACUCCGCUAAACUGUCAUCUCAAACAAAAACAAAUGGAUCAUACAACUGCUAUGAAUACAUUCGACUCGUUUGCUUCCAUCAAUCGGUAAGUGAGAAAGAUGAUUUCUCCCAUCACCACAGUGCGGAUUUCCACUUCUAUCACAGCAGCCAACAACAUCCGUUUUCCUGCUGCAGUAACCUCCAACCCCUGUUGGCAAUGCCGGGGAACAGCAUUAACAGCAGCAGCAGAAUUUGACCAUGGUAUGGUAUUGCGAAGAACUUUCCCCAUUAGAGGUUCCGUGCUUCGCGCACAUUCAAAAAUCCUCUUCAGACACGAAAACUCAACGACAAGGAGGUAUUUAUCAACUUGCUCAGCUGAAUUACCACCCGGAGGAACCCGAAUGCACUGAUUCCGUUGUAUAGUAGAAUGAAAAUAGGCGAGGUAAGCGAACGUAAUCGCAUGAUAUUUUAAUGUUCGCAUUUUCAUCCGGAUCAUACAACUGCUAUGAAUACAUCCGACUCAAUCAAUCGGCGAAUGAGAAAGAUGAUUUCCCUCAUCACCACAUUGCUUAUUUCCACUUCUGUCACACCAGCCAACAGCAUCAACUUUCCCGCAGCAGUAUCCUUUAAGUCCAGGGUGCUAUUCCGGGGAACAGCAUCAACAGCAACAGCAGCAGGACCUGGCCAUAGUAUUUCGGGCAAUUUUCCCCAUCGGAGAUCCCGUGCUUCACGCACAUUGAAGAAUCCUCCUCAGCCACAUAUCUGUGUCAUCGAGGGCAAAGAGGUAUUCAUCAAUGUACUCAGUCGGAUUUGAAUCGUCAAUCCAGACAACCCGGAUGCACCGAUUCCAUUAUAUACCUUAUUUUUAUUAUACAUGGAUUUUUAUUAUUUUUUUUCAA